GUGGCUGAGUGGUAAAGAAACUGCCUGCCAUGAGGUAGAUGCAGCUUCAAUCCGUGGGUCUGGAAGUUCCCCUGGGGAAGGAAAUGGCAACCCACUCCAAUAUUUUUGCCUGGAGUAUCCCGUGGACAAAGGAGUCUGGAGGGCUACAGUCC